rnacentral:rRNA from 1 species
GACGAACGCUGGCGGCGUGCUUAACACAUGCAAGUCGAACGGAAAGGCUCCAGCUUGCUGGAGUACUCGAGUGGCGAACGGGUGAGUAACACGUGGGUAAUCUGCCCUGCACUCUGGGAUAAGCCUGGGAAACUGGGUCUAAUACUGGAUAUGACCUUUCUCCUUAUGGGGUUUGGUGGAAAGUUUUUCGGUGUAGGAUGAGCCCGCGGCCUAUCAGCUUGUUGGUGGGGUGAUGGCCUACCAAGGCGACGACGGGUAGCCGGCCUGAGAGGGUGAUCGGCCACAUUGGGACUGAGAUACGGCCCAGACUCCUACGGGAGGCAGCAGUGGGGAAUAUUGCACAAUGGGCGGAAGCCUGAUGCAGCGACGCCGCGUGAGGGAUGAUGGCCUUCGGGUUGUAAACCUCUUUCAGCAGGGACGAAGCGUAAGUGACGGUACCUGCAGAAGAAGCACCGGCUAACUAUGUG